UACGUAGGGUCCGAGCGUUGUCCGGAAUUAUUGGGCGUAAAGGGCUCGUAGGCGGUUUGUCGCGUCGGGAGUGAAAACACGGGGCUUAACCCCGUGCCUGCUUCCGAUACGGGCAGACUAGAGGUAUGCAGGGGAGAACGGAAUUCCUGGUGUAGCGGUGAAAUGCGCAGAUAUCAGGAGGAACACCGGUGGCGAAGGCGGAUCUCUGGGCCGAUACUGACGCUGAGGAGCGAAAGCGUGGGGAGCGAACAGG
rnacentral:rRNA from 1 species